AUUGAACGCUGGCGGCAGGCCUAACACAUGCAAGUCGCGCGAGCGGCGGACGGGUGAGUAAUGUAUGGGGACUGCCCGAUAGAGGGGUAUAACUACUGGAAACGGUGGCUAAAACCGCAUACUAUGUGAUAACCCAUAUGGGAUUAGCUAGUAGGUGGGGAAAAGGCUCACCUGGGCGAAGCUGUCUAGCUGGUCUGAGAGGAUGAUCAGCCACACUGGUACUGAGACACGGCCCAGACUCCUACGGAGGCAGCAGUGGGGAAUAUUGCACAAUGGGCGCAAGCCUGAUGCAGCCAUGCCGCGUGGAUGAAGAAGGCCUUAGGGUUGUAAAGUACUUUCAGCGGGGAGGCGUUACCCGAAGAAGAAGCACCGGCUAACUCCGUGCCAGCAGCCGCGGUAAUUC
rnacentral:rRNA from 1 species